UUACCCGACAAAGCCAUCACCCCUAGUCAGAGCUCAGGCUGUCAGUGGGUUGUGGAAUGUUUUGGCCUGUGUCCAUGAAGUCACUAAUCAUGUAUGCUGCCCUGGGUGAUAAAAGUCAUUAGGAGAGGAGCUGUCCAUGGUCUGACUGGGACUUGUUGGGUCAUUGAAUCUGUGAAGAGUUACUGUGAUGAUCCAGUUCUGUGCCUGUGCCCAUCACUGUAGCUGUGCUAAGGCCCUGCUGAUUUGCAUGUGCCAAGAGCACAGCCCACUGCCUGAGCAUUUCUAAUAGCUGGUCUCAACCUGUGCAGGGGUCAGCCUCAUUCAACACACAGUAUAGCCAUGGCAGCUCCUGCUCAGCUCCUGGGGUUCCUGCUGCUCUGUCUCCAAGGAGCCAGACGUGACAUCCAGAUGACCCAGUCUCCACCUUCACUGUCUGUUUCUCCAGGAGACAGAGUCACAAUCACUUGCCAUGCCAGUGAGAAUAAUUAUAACAAUUUACACUGGUACCAGCAGAAACCAGGGGAAGCUCCUAAGCUCCUGAUCAGUUAUGUAUCAAAUUUGCAACCUGGGGUUCCACCCAGGUUCAGUAGCAGUGGGUAUGGGACAGAGUUCACUCUCACCAUCAGCAGCCUGCAACCUGAAGAUGUUGCCACUUAUUACUGUCAACAAAGUACUAGUUGCCCUCCCACAGUGAUACAAGUCAUAGCAUAAACCUCUUAGGGAAGCAGAAGUGUGAGGCUCAGCUGCCCCAGCUGCUGCUCCUGGUGCCUCUUCCUGCUAAGGGUAUUUCAUAGAGGAAGCCAAGUUCUGAAAUUAUUGGAAUGAUGUUUUUGAUUUGUAGCAGUGGCAAGGAUUAGCACUGUACUAUCACUCCAGUUUAUCCCACUGUUUUUCCCAGCACAGACAUGUUGAUGCCUCUUCUAAUAGAAAGGAAAG